CGUGCCUAAUACAUGCAAGUCGAGCGAACGGAUAAGGAGCUUGCUCCUUUGAAGUUAGCGGCGGACGGGUGAGUAACACGUGGGUAACCUACCUAUAAGACUGGAAUAACUUCGGGAAACCGGAGCUAAUGCCGGAUAACAUUUGGAACCGCAUGGUUCUAAAGUAAAAGAUGGUUUUGCUAUCACUUAUAGAUGGACCCGCGCCGUAUUAGCUAGUUGGUAAGGUAACGGCUUACCAAGGCAACGAUACGUAGCCGACCUGAGAGGGUGAUCGGCCACACUGGAACUGAGACACGGUCCAGACUCCUACGGGAGGCAGCAGUAGGGAAUCUUCCGCAAUGGACGAAAGUCUGACGGAGCAACGCCGCGUGAGUGAUGAAGGUUUUCGGAUCGUAAAACUCUGUUAUUAGGGAAGAACAAAUGUGUAAGUAACUG
rnacentral:rRNA from 1 species